rnacentral:rRNA from 1 species
UGCGGAGGGUGCAAGCGUUAUCCGGAUUCACUGGGUUUAAAGGGUGCGUAGGUGGCGCUGUAAGUCGGGUGUGAAAUUUCGGAGCUUAACUCCGAAACUGCAUUCGAUACUGCGGUGCUUGAGGACUGGAGAGGAGACUGGAAUUCAUGGUGUAGCAGUGAAAUGCGUAGAGAUCAUGAGGAAGACCAGUGGCGAAGGCGGGUCUCUGGACAGUUCCUGACACUGAGGCACGAAGGCCAGGGGAGCAAACGGG